rnacentral:lncRNA from 1 species
UAGAACAAUGCUGGAAUACACAGAGCAGUUGUUCUGUAGAUACACCCAUUGUCUCUGUAACUGAAGUUCCAAGCAGAGCACUGUCACAAGCAUAUUUAUGACAUAAUCCUCCUGGUCCACACACAGAGAGUACUAUGAACCUAUCGUAUACCUUGUUGUUCUUUUUUGGCAUUAACUUUGCUCUUAUUUCUCAAUUGAUAAAGGGGUUGAUGGUUUCCUGGCUAGACAUGGUAGAUGUCUGAAUCCUGUAAGACAACUGGAACCAAUUUAUCACUGGGCAGAAGCAUCUUCUACUAAUGGAAAUGGCAGAUGUCCAGCCUACCCUUCCAGGAAUGGGAGAGUUCAUAUGGGAGGAGAAUCAUACCCUCAAAAAUUUCAAGGUGAGUUUCCGGCAAGUUCUCUACCUAGAGAUUUCAUUUGCUAACCUGAUCAUGGUACAUUGGUGACCUGCACUUUUUCAAAUUGAAAUAUAGUUCACUUAUAAUACUAUAUUAGUUUUGGGUAUACAACAUAGCUAUUUGAUAUUUUUAUAUAAUCCAUAUAAGGUUAUUAUAAAAUAUUGGCUAAAUUCCUUGUGGUGUAUAUCAAAUACUUGUAACCUAUUUAUUUUGUACCUAGUAGUUUUUACUUCUUAAUCUCCUUCACCUUUCUUGCUACUCCCCUACCCCUUUCCCUUCUGGUAAUCACUAGUUUGUUCUCUGUAUGUGAGUUUGCCUUAUUUGUUAUAUUCAUUCAUUUUAUUUUCUAGAUUCCAUAUAUAAAUGAAGACACACAGUAAUUGAUUUAUUAUUUCACGAAACAUAAUACCCUCUAGGUGCAUCCAUGUUGUUACAAAUGGCA